rnacentral:rRNA from 1 species
AGAGCCUGAAUCAGUGUGUGUGUUAGUGGAAGCGUCUGGAAAGGCGCGCGAUACAGGGUGACAGCCCCGUACACAAAAAUGCACAUGCUGUGAGCUCGAUGAGUAGGGCGGGACACGUGGUAUCCUGUCUGAAUAUGGGGGGACCAUCCUCCAAGGCUAAAUACUCCUGACUGACCGAUAGUGAACCAGUACCGUGAGGGAAAGGCGAAAAGAACCCCGGCGAGGGGAGUGAAAAAGAACCUGAAACCGUGUACGUACAAGCAGUGGGAGCACGCUUCGGCGUGUGACUGCGUACCUUUUGUAUAAUGGGUCAGCGACUUAUAUUCUGUAGCAAGGUUAACCGAAUAGGGGAGCCGAAGGGAAACCGAGUCUUAACUGGGCGUUAAGUUGCAGGGUAUAGACCCGAAACCCGGUGAUCUAGCCAUGGGCAGGUUGAAGGUUGGGUAACACUAACUGGAGGACCGAACCGACUAAUGUUGAAAAAUUAGCGGAUGACUUGUGGCUGGGGGUGAAAGGCCAAUCAAACCGGGAGAUAGCUGGUUCUCCCCGAAAGCUAUUUAGGUAGCGCCUCGUGAAUUCAUCUCCGGGGGUAGAGCACUGUUUCGGCAAGGGGGUCAUCCCGACUUACCAACCCGAUGCAAACUGCGAAUACCGGAGAAUGUUAUCACGGGAGACACACGGCGGGUGCUAACGUCCGUCGUGAAGAGGGAAACAACCCAGACCGCCAGCUAAGGUCCCAAAGUCAUGGUUAAGUGGGAAACGAUGUGGGAAGGCCCAGACAGCCAGGAUGUUGGCUUAGAAGCAGCCAUCAUUUAAAGAAAGCGUAAUAGCUCACUGGUCGAGUCGGCCUGCGCGGAAGAUGUAACGGGGCUAAACCAUGCACCGAAGCUGCGGCAGCGACGCUGAUGCGUUGUUGGGUAGGGGAGCGUUCUGUAAGCCUGUGAAGGUGUGCUGUGAGGCAUGCUGGAGGUAUCAGAAGUGCGAAUGCUGACAUAAGUAACGAUAAAGCGGGUGAAAAGCCCGCUCGCCGGAAGACCAAGGGUUCCUGUCCAACGUUAAUCGGGGCAGGGUGAGUCGACCCCUAAGGCGAGGCCGAAAGGCGUAGUCGAUGGGAAACAGGUUAAUAUUCCUGUACUUGGUGUUACUGCGAAGGGGGGACGGAGAAGGCUAUGUUGGCCGGGCGACGGUUGUCCCGGUUUAAGCGUGUAGGCUGGUUUUCCAGGCAAAUCCGGAAAAUCAAGGCUGAGGCGUGAUGACGAGGCACUACGGUGCUGAAGCAACAAAUGCCCUGCUUCCAGGAAAAGCCUCUAAGCAUCAGGUAACAUCAAAUCGUACCCCAAACCGACACAGGUGGUCAGGUAGAGAAUACCAAGGCGCUUGAGAGAACUCGGGUGAAGGAACUAGGCAAAAUGGUGCCGUAACUUCGGGAGAAGGCACGC